rnacentral:rRNA from 1 species
AACGAACGCUGGCGGCAUGCCUAACACAUGCAAGUCGAACGAGACCUUCGGGUCUAGUGGCGCACGGGUGCGUAACGCGUGGGAACCUGCCCUAGGUUCGGAAUAACUCCCCGGAAGGGGUGCUAAUACCGGAUAAUGUCUUCGGACCAAAGAUUUAUCGCCUUUGGAUGGGCCCGCGUUGGAUUAGCUAGUUGGUAGGGUAAAAGCCUACCAAGGCGACGAUCCAUAGCUGGUCUGAGAGGAUGAUCAGCCACACUGGGACUGAGACACGGCCCAGACUCCUACGGGAGGCAGCAGUGGGGAAUAUUGGACAAUGGGCGAAAGCCUGAUCCAGCAAUGCCGCGUGAGUGAUGAAGGCCUUAGGGUUGUAAAGCUCUUUUACCCGGGAUGAUAAUGACAGUACCGGGAGAAUAAGCUCCGGCUAACUCCGUG